GGGCUACACACGUGCUACAAUGGCGGUGACAGUGGGAAGCUAUGUGGUGACACAGUGCUGAUCUCUAAAAGCCGUCUCAGUUCGGAUUGUACUCUGCAACUCGAGUACAUGAAGGUGGAAUCGCUAGUAAUCGCGGAUCAGCAUGCCGCGGUGAA
rnacentral:rRNA from 2 species